AUAGAGUAGGACAUUACAUGUCGGCGGUGAAGUGCGAUCCCAUGUAACAAUCUGCUCUCUCAUCUCCCUCCACGCUCCAUUCACUCCUCUCCGAUAUUAUCUUCCCAAAAUUCAUAUCCAUUCGCCCUCUGGAAUCUCAUUUUCUAGGUUUUCCCGGUACCACUGCCGAUAGAGAUCGCAUUUUCUGAGUUUCCCGACAUCACCGCCGACGUGUAAUGUCUGAGUUGUGGGUACAGGUCUCGUACUUUGUGGGUAUUGUCCGUGUUUAUUAUGUGAUGGCUAUGUAUUUUGUGGGUUUUCUUGAAAUUAAGAAUGGGAUUUUAUGCUAGUUUCAUUGUUUCAGGUUGCUGCCCUGUCAAGGAAGAUGGUUUUUGGAAGUGAAAUUACUGUGGCAGUUAAGUUUGUUCCUGGGGGAUUCAGGAUAUGAGUUAUUUUUUCUUUAUUUUAGUGAAAUUACUAUCGUAGUUUCAUUAUUUCACGUUGCUGCCCUCUAGAAUUCUCAUUGGCUGUCCUUUCUUUUAUCUUUGGCCCUUCAUCAAUAAAAUUAUUCUGAUUUUUCUUCAUUUUAGUAUUCCUAAUCGAUUAAUUUCGAUUUAUGUAGUUUGACUUUAUAUGUUUAUUUUCAAUUUGAUGGGAUAAUUGAAUUUAGUACCUGAUUUUGGGAUUGUUAUGGGAAGAGAAUUUUUAUUGUUGGGUUGGACUGGGAAUAUUAUUUUGCCUAAUACUCCAGAAAGUGUGUAUGUUGGAGGUUUAAUAUGGUCAGUUUGUUGGCUUGCAAGGCUCCAGCAUUUAGACUUGUUAAAAACAAUUCAAUGUUGAAUGGUAUUUUCUUUAGUUGCAGUGGGAAGAGAAUUUUUUAUUAUUUAUUUUUUUUGAGGGGCAAAAAGUUCAGCUAGUGUUUUUCCUUGAUUUUCCAGUAAGUGAGAGGAAGUUAAGCAAAUUCUGAGAAGAACUGAGCCGGAAGAGAUCUGAAAAUGAGCCUUGGAAAUAGGAGAUGUUUGGGUAGCUAUUGGAUGGAGUAUCGAUAUUCGAUUUUGCUAGUGGUACAUCGGGGUGUUCCUAAUGGUGUACACCCCACUCAUAUGGACGAGGGACCCACUUGAAUAAAAUAUCAUUUCUUUCACAUGUGUCCCACACCCAUGUGAGUGGGGUGUACACUAUUCGGUACACCCCAUUAUGUACCACUAGACAAAUUCAUCAACGUUAUUCCAGCAGCUAAAAGGAUGUCAAAUGUUGCAGUGAUUGUUCCCAUGUCUGGCGCUAGCUUAUGGGCAGACUUGUGGGUACGUCUUGAAUGCCAUGUCCUAUCUUGUUAAAUUAUUUCUUUUUGUAUACUUGAUUGAAUCAUAAGUCUGUCUAAGGUGACAGAUGAAUAUUCUGUCUAAUGCUUCAAUGCAUUCCAUAUCUUUGGAAAUACUUAAGACUCAGUUCAAGGGAAAAGAAAGUAGGCAUUUUACUUAAAAGUAAGAAAAAAUUAAGUUAUCCAAAUGUGUUUAGGAACAAGGAAGAUACUUUUACUUAUUUUAAGACCAACAUUAUAUAGAGUUCAUAGAUCAAGAAAGAGCUGGCAGUUAUAUCAGGGAUAAUACAAGGCUAGGAAUUUGUAAGUUCUAUAGUAUUAUAGUGCAAUCAUCACAAGAAAUAAGUAAAACCUCGUGAGAGCAAGUUUAUUCCCAUAACAUACAAAUCGUUUAUAUUAUACAUUGCAGGCAGUACCGGUUGGAGAACUACUGGUAUUAUAUAGAGUUGCUUGUGAAUCGUUUAUCUGUCUCGUCCUAGAUUUAAAAGUAUCCACAGCUGUUCCUAUUUUUCAAUAAGGCACCGGCUAAUCAUGUUAUUUGAGGGGAGAAAAUGGGUUCAUGAAAACAUAUUACAUCUUGGUCCUUAAAAGGGAAGUUGCCGAUCUUUUAACUUAAAGUUUCCUAUAUGUUUGUUAGAUGGCAACUUUGUUUCUUUAGAAGCUAAUAGAGAAAUUUAAGAAUUGGCUAUGAAAUUUCCUGAGAGAUGAACUUUGCUUCUUUGAUUUGAUGAAUAAUUAAUAUGUUAAGUUGUUUAAUUAGCUUGAGCAUGUUUCAUUUGUUGAAACUUGUAUAGUUGGGUUUUUACUCUAAACAUUGAAAUGGAUUUGUGUCGAUUUUUGAAGUAAAUAUGUUCUAUAUGAAUUCUGUUAGCGAUCUAUGACUAUAAACUUGUCCUCAUUUUUUGGCUUGCCAUUUAUUUGAGUUCUUUUAAUGUUUAAUAAUUUAAUUAGAUGUAUAAUAUUGGUUAUUACAUUGCAUUAAAACAGAAUGCUGAAAUCUGUUUUCUUCAUAAUGAGAACAGGUAUAAUACUGGAGUGAAACUAGAGGAACAUGUUGAAGAUUGUUGUCAAAGAUUCCCUCACAAAAAAGUACCUAAGCUUGUGUCGAAGAUUGCUGUGAAGAAAAUUGAGGAGGCCGAUGGGGUUGAAAAACGCACUACUUAGUUUGUCAAUUAUUUAUUUAUUAUUUAUUUUUUGGGAAAAUGUAUUCGAUUUUUAGGUGUUUUAGAAUUUUGAAUCUGGAUUUUAUACAGAUAUUGUUACAUUUUAGAGUUCAAUUAAUAAUGAUUAUUGGAG
rnacentral:lncRNA from 1 species